rnacentral:snRNA from 1 species
AGAGCCCAAUUACACAAAAGAUAA